AGAGAGAGAGAGAGAGAGAGAGAGAGAGAGAGAGAGAGAGAGCGCAGUGAAAAGGUUACAGAGACUCUUCGAUGAUGGGUCAAGCUCCCAACCGUGGAAGCUAGUAAUCUCCAAGAGCAAAGGUUUUGACGAUGAAGCUCAAAUGAAAUGUCUUGUUUGGUUGAGUUUCUGAAAAUGGACCUGCCUGGCUCCCUGAAUGCCAUCUAAGAAGCAGCCUUUGCCAAAGACAGAGUUGGGUACUUCCUUAGUUGGCAUGAGGGGAGCCAUGCAGGCCCUAAUACAGGACAUCACACAUUACAAGCAGGCAAACUCAGGUCAUCAACAACCUAAGAUAAGUCAUUAAUUUCACCAACUUAAUUUCUCGUUCACUUCUCAUUAGCCAAUACGACUUAUCCUAACUUGCCUCCUUUGACAUGUAGGUCUCCCUUUGGAUGAGCUAAGCUUUUCUCAGCGACAUACAUAUAUUCUUUCCCGAGCCGAUGCAGUGUCAUAUGGAUACUUCCAGCAGAUGUGAAGGUUCGGAUUGAAGAUCCUCGUGAGACGGUCCACAUAAACCUUAGAGAAGCGAGGUGGGGCUUAAAAGCCCCACCUCAUUGCGGUUUUGACCCUCAAAUUGAACUGGACAAGAUGCUUUGCCCUACUUCCAAGUUCCAAUUCUUAUCUUUCAGGUCAUAUUCCUGUAAAGUUGGACGGAUUCUGGAAUGAGAUGAUGAUGAAUGGAAGAGACGACAGACGUGUAAUGCAGGGCGGUCUUGGCUAAGUGGACCCUGGCUUCCAGGCUUUUGAUGUGACUUAAGGUCUUGGUUUCAAGCGACAAAGCUGCUUCUCGGUACUAUAAAGAUCUUUCCCAUUUCGUGGACCGACUGUGUACAAGGAAUCCCCGAACAUAGCGUUGAGAUAGUUUUACGUGCAGCUUUUAUUUUAAGACUAAUGUGUUGUGCUAAGAAUCGUUAUGUUUUGAUAUGGUAAUAUGAAUAAAAUA